UUAUGUACAUUUCUGCAAUGUUAAUGCAAUGAAUCCCAUCAUAAUUCCAUAGUUAAGUAUGCUCGGGCUAGAGUAGUAUCGGGUUGGGUGACCUCCCAGGAAGUCCUCAUGCUUUACCUGCC
rnacentral:rRNA from 1 species